CGCAGCGAAUGCGAUACCUAGUGUGAAUUGCAGAAUUCCGCGAAUCAUCGAGUCUUUGAACGCAAGUUGCGCCCGAGGCUCGUACCGAGGGCAUGCCUGUCUGAGCGUCCA
rnacentral:rRNA from 1 species